GAUCAUGGCCAAGGAUGAACGCUAGCGGCAGGCUUAACACAUGCAAGUCGAGGGGCAGCAUAAUGGAUAGCAAUAUCUAUGGUGGCGACCGGCGCACGGGUGCGUAACGCGUAUGCAACCUACCUUUAACAGGGGGAUAACACUGAGAAAUUGGUACUAAUACCCCAUAAUAUCAUAGAAGGCAUCUUUUAUGGUUGAAAAUUCCGAUGGUUAGAGAUGGGCAUGCGUUGUA
rnacentral:rRNA from 1 species